rnacentral:rRNA from 1 species
AAUCAACGCUGGCGGCGUGCCUCAGACAUGCAAGUCGAACGAUUAAAGCUCUCUUCGGAGAGUGUAUAGAGUGGCGCACGGGUGAGUAACACGUAAGUAAUCUACCCUCGAGUGGGGAAUAACAACCGGAACGGUUGCUAAUACCGCAUAAUGCAGCGGCACCGCAAGGUGACAGUUGUUAAAAGAUUUAUCGCUUGAGGAGGAGCUUGCGGCAGAUUAGCUAGUUGGUAGGGUAACGGCUUACCAAGGCUACGAUCUGUAACCGGUCUAAGAGGACGGUCGGUCACACUGACACUGAAUAACGGGUCAGACUCCUACGGGAGGCAGCAGUCGGGAAUUUUGGGCAAUGGGCGAAAGCCUGACCCAGCAACGCCGCGUGAAGGAUGAAGUAUUCGGUAUGUAAACUUCGAAAGAAUAGGAAGAAUUAAUGACGGUACUAUUUAUAAGGUCCGGCUAACUACGUGCCAGCAGCCGCGGUAAU